rnacentral:rRNA from 1 species
UACGUAGGGCGCAAGCGUUGUCCGGAAUUAUUGGGCGUAAAGAGCUCGUAGGCGGUUUGUCACGUCGGAUGUGAAAGCCCGGGGCUUAACUCCGGGUCUGCAUUCGAUACGGGCAGACUAGAGUGUGGUAGGGGAGAUCGGAAUUCCUGGUGUAGCGGUGAAAUGCGCAGAUAUCAGGAGGAACACCGGUGGCGAAGGCGGGUCUCUGGGCCGAUACUGACGCUGAGGAGCGAAAGCGUGGGGAGCGAACAGG